rnacentral:rRNA from 2 species
AAUGAACGCUGGCGGCGUGCCUAACACAUGCAAGUCGAGCGAGAAAGUCCGAAAGGAUGAGUACAGCGGCGAACGGGUGAGUAAUACUUAGGAAUCUACCCUUUGGUGAGGAAUACCCUCGAGAAAUCGGGGUUAAUACUGCAUAAGUCGAUGAAUAAUCGAGAAAGAUGGCCUCUUUGCUAUCGCCGAAGGAUGAGCCUACGCACUAUUAGCUAGUUGGUAGAGUAAAAGCCUACCAAGGCGAAGAUGGUUAGUCGGCCUGAGAGGGUGUACGACCACAAUGGAACUGAAACACGGUCCAUACUCCUACGGGAGGCAGCAGUGGGGAAUAUUGCACAAUGGGCGCAAGCCUGAUGCAGCGACGCCGCGUGGAGGAUGAAGGCUUUCGAGUUGUAAACUCCUGUUAAGUGGGAAGAAAGACUGUUGACUAAUAAUCAGCAGGGAUGACGGUACCACUAGAGAAAGCACCGGCAAACUUCGUGC